CUGCUGCCUCCCGUAGGAGUUUGGGCCGUGUCUCAGUCCCAAUGUGGCCGUCCACCCUCUCAGGCCGGCUACUGAUCGCUGCCUUGGUGGGCCGUUACCCCGCCAACUAGCUAAUCAGACGCGGAUCCAUCGUAUACCACCGGAGUUUUUCACACUGCCCCAUGCGGAGCCGUGCGCUUAUGCGGUAUUAGCACCUAUUUCUAAGUGUUAUCCCCCGGUAUACGGCAGGUUAUCCACGCGUUACUCACCCCGUCCGCCACUAA
rnacentral:rRNA from 1 species